rnacentral:rRNA from 1 species
GUCUAUAGCCAUAUUACCCUGAACGUGCCUUAUCUUGUCUGAUCUUGGAAGUUAAGCAAUGUUGGGCCUGAGUAGUACUUGGAUGGGAGAAAGUCUCUUUUAGUUCUAUUGUCA